rnacentral:rRNA from 1 species
UCUACGGGAGGCAGCAGUGGGGAAUAUUGGACAAUGGGGGCAACCCUGAUCCAGCCAUGCCGCGUGUGUGAAGAAGGCCCUCGGGUUGUAAAGCACUUUCAGCGAGGAAGAACGCCUAGCGGUUAAUACCCGCUAGGAAAGACAUCACUCGCAGAAGAAGCACCGGCUAACUCCGUGCCAGCAGCCGCGGUAAUACGGAGGGUGCAAGCGUUAAUCGGAAUUACUGGGCGUAAAGCGCGCGUAGGUGGCUUGAUAAGCCGGUUGUGAAAGCCCCGGGCUCAACCUGGGAACGGCAUCCGGAACUGUCAAGCUAGAGUGCAGGAGAGGAAGGUAGAAUUCCCGGUGUAGCGGUGAAAUGCGUAGAGAUCGGGAGGAAUACCAGUGGCGAAGGCGGCCUUCUGGACUGACACUGACACUGAGGUGCGAAAGCGUGGGUAGCAAACAGGAUUAGAUACCCUGGUAGUCCACGCCGUAAACGAUGUCGACCAGCCGUUGGGUGCCUAGCGCACUUUGUGGCGAAGUUAACGCGAUAAGUCGACCGCCUGGGGAGUACGGCCGCAAGGUUAAAACUCAAAUGAAUUGACGG